ACUUUAAGAUCUAGCUUGUGAAACUUACAAUGGAAAGAAUGCUAACCGGGAAGAACGUCACCAGUGAUGUGCAUUCUUAGAAUCAGCACACCACUGUCUAAUUCGACUACCCCUUUUCUUGGUCAUCAGAAUCAGCCUUAAUCUGCGCAAUGGAUUGUGCACCCCUUUGGUUGGUUUCCAACGCUUAACCAUUACCAACCAAUACAAGUAGACAAGGGCAUCGAAACAAUCCCUUUUGGUCUGCCAAGCCUUCACCUGCUUCAGCAAAAUACCAGCCCUACAGCUUCUGCAGUCUUCAGACAAUGUCAUAGGCUUUUCGCCUCGUCUUCGCCUCGUCCGUCGCCUCGUCUUCGCCUCGCCCGUCGUCGCCUCGUCUUCGCCUCGCCCGUCGUCGCCUCGCCCGUCGUCGCCUCGUCUUCGCCUCGCCCGUCGUCGCCUCGUGGUUGCCCAUCGCCGUGUCGCCGUCGCAUCCGUUGCUGUGUCGUCGCCUUAUCUUCAUGGUAUCGUUAUAUUUUGUAUUGUAUGUAAUAUGUAAUGUAAUUAACCCGUUGGCUGCCACACAUCUUUGAAUCCCCUUUUUUUUUUAGCUUGACAGGGACGGGCCGCGCUGUUCUGCUCCAUGGCCUAUUUUCCAUGGGGUGGAGCAGCGCCACUGCCCAAGAUUGGCCGAAUGGCCCCAAAGGCAAUGCACCAGAGGGAAUUCCCUUGAUCGAUGCGAUAGAUGAGACCUGGGGUGUGCAUUCCCGUAAAGGUCUCGUCAUCGUGUCAGCCCGGCCCCCCGGCCCCCUUUAUCGCUAUCCCUAAGAUAGCGAUGUAGAAACUGUAGUUAAGAUGGCGUGGCAGCCAACGGGUUAGUUUUAAGUGUAUUUGUGUAUGUAUUUUUGUAUUGUAUGUGUAAUAUGUAUA